CGCGUAGGCGGUUUGUUAAGUCAGGCGUGAAAGCCCUGGGCUCAACCUGGGAUGUGCGUUUGAUACUGGCAAGCUUGAGUGCAGGAGAGGAUGGUGGAAUUCCCAGUGUAGAGGUGAAAUUCGUAGAUAUUGGGAAGAACACCGGUGGCGAAGGCGGCCAUCUGGACUGCAACUGACGCUGAGGCGCGAAAGCGUGGGGAGCAAACAGGAUUAGAUACCCUGGUAGUCCACGCUGUAAACGAUGAGUGCUGGACGUUGGCGGGUUUACCUGCCGGUGUCGCAGCUAACGCGUUAAGCACUCCGCCUGGGGAGUACGGCCGCAAGGUUAAA
rnacentral:rRNA from 1 species